CUUUCAGAUCACAUUCUCUUCCAGACAGUUCUUCAAGGAACCCACGUUAACCACCGCCCCCCCAUCAGCCUUUCAUGUUCUCCUCACUGACAAGACUCUUCCAAUAAACCAUAUAAAAUAAAUAACCUCAAAUAUAAUUCUUAAUUGCUACCAAGUCGAUGUUUCCUCAUCACUAAACUUUAUUGCUUCCCAAUCUUUAAGACAAACUUCCCUCGGGACUCUGUCCCUUUCAGGAGACAGGCCGAGGAAAGCUGCUUCUCCAAGAUUCUACCUGCAUGUCCCAGACCCAGAGGAUGAACAAGGGUGCCAGGUUGUUCAGAGGCUGCAAGACCAGGGGAGGCCUCGGAGGGUUGGAGCUGGAUGCUAGGAGACAAAAUGGGUAAAUCCUCCAAGGCUUAACUUCAGCGAAACCAGUCGCAGAGCGGAUGGAGGAGGCGAGGACGCGGCUAGUUCACACCGUUUCCUUGGCAAGGAAAAUCACUGGCGGUAGGAAAGGCUACGGGGAUUUAACUGGGAUUGGGGGUGGGGGGGGGAUCGCAGACAGACCGUGGGUGCGUGACACCGCCCGUGCGCUUGGACCUCGCACCUCGGAGUAGUGUUGGUGACCGGGUAAGUCCGCGAUGCGCCACCUCUCUGCUCCUGAAGUUUUAGGCCGCCUCGUAGCGACCUGCAAGCGCCUGCCGAGUGUUGGCGGGCCCCUUGAACCCAAGCCCUGUCUGUCCGCUGAGUCCUGGGAGGAGAAUACCGGCCUCACCAGAAGAAGGAGAACACGGAGAGAGGUCCGAAAACCGUUUGCAAUGCCAUCUAGACAGCCCUCCGCGAAACCAACCCUGAGCGGCGCUGGCAGCCCACCCCUGCACCCGGCUGCAGAGGUGGGGGCUGCAACUCUCCGAGCAACCCAAUAAUUACAAAAGGAAGGUCGAAGGACAAAAGAAAAAAAAAAAGAAAGAAAUUUAAAAUUCAGAAAUUACUUUCUCCCCAGCUUCGGUUGUCCAGCUCCAGUGGGCGGCCCGGGGCCGCGAGCCCCAUCGCUGCGGAAGAGGCUGGACCCGCGUGGCCGCGAGCCCUAUGUGUGUGCGCGUGUGUGUGUGUACGUGGGCGCGCGCGGGAGUGUAGCGACUCCAGGGGCUGCCCUCCGCAGUCUUUUUAAAGUAGCCUCCAAAUGAGCCUAAUUUUGAUUCUGCUGCCCGCCAGGGCUGGCUCUCAGGACUCCCUCGGCGCUGCUGGUCGCUGCCUCGCCCUCCCUCGGCCAAGACCUGGCCUGAUCCGUCCCCAUCCCCGUGUCUCAGUGGAACCCCCCUGGGGGAAGGGGUGCGGAGUGAACAACUCCCAGCCGCCAGUUCCAUUUGUUGCGCUUUUUUCAUUCGACACAAUAAAAGUCAAAUU
rnacentral:lncRNA from 1 species